rnacentral:rRNA from 1 species
UUUUUUGCAUUACUCCACAAGCGGAGGAAAAGAAACCAACAGGGAUUGCCUCAGUAACGGCGAGUGAAGCGGCAACAGCUCAAAUUUGAAAUCUGGCCUCUUUGGGGUCCGAGUUGUAAUUUGUAGAGGAUGUUUCGGGUACCGCCUCGGUUUAAAUUUCUUGGAACAGAAUGUCAAAGAGGGUGAGAAUCCCGUCUUGGACCGGCGGUAGGGCCCAUGUGAAACUCCUUCGACGAGUCGAGUUGUUUGGGAAUGCAGCUCAAAAUGGGUGGUAAAUUUCAUCUAAAGCUAAAUAUUGGCCAGAGACCGAUAGCGCACAAGUAGAGUGAUCGAAAGAUGAAAAGCACUUUGAAAAGAGAGUUAAACAGUAUGUGAAAUUGUUGAAAGGGAAGCGCUUACAACCAGACUUGAGCGCGGCGGUUCCCCCUUCCUUUUGGUUGGGUUACUCCGUCGUGUCCAGGCCAACAUCGGUUUCGGGGGUCGGUUAAAGACCUUGGGAAUGUAUCUACCCUUCGGGCGUAGACUUAUAGCCCAGGGUGUCAUGCGGCCUCCCGGGACCGAGGAACGCGCUUCGGCUCGGAUGUUGGCGUAAUGGUUGUCAGCGACCCGUCUUGAAACACACGAAACCAAAAA